rnacentral:lncRNA from 1 species
UCUCCGGGAAUCCCCAGGAAUCCCCAGGAGAACUCCAAAGUAGCGGCUGAGGCGAUAGUAAUGCCUUGCCUGUCAACCAAUACUAUUGGCAAAAUGCCAGGGGCCAUUCCGACUCAGCUGUGGCUCUGAGCAAGAAUGUGCUGGGAGUGCAAUAUCUGGAGAUAGCGAGAAAAUUCCUGAGAAAGCCAGGACUUAUGCCUGCCCUGCCUGGAAAAUGUAGCAUUUUGACAUAAGGAAGAACUGCCUGGGACAGCCCAGGCUUGAUUCCUCUCUCCUUGGAAGCAGGACAUCACUCAAAACCUUACCAGGUAAGUCACAUGGACCCUGAGGUAGAUAAACCAAGUGGGUUACCCUUCCAGGUCUGUUAGCUGCGGUGUCAAUGGGAUGCAUGCAAUCAAGGUUCCAUCCAUACCUGGCACCUUUUUUUUUCCCGUCCAAUUUUGGAGUUCUGGGAUCAAACCCAGGGCCUCUCAAGCUAGGAAAGUGUUCUACCACUGAGUAACAAACAGCCCCAGCCCCUGCCAGCUUUCUUGAGUCUUGGGAAAUUAGCUCACAUGGAUCUUAGGCUUCUGUUGUUCCUUGCUAUCUAUGUGAAGUAAUAAGCCAGAUCCAUGUAACUUGUUGUGUAUGUGUGUCCUGUCUCAUCAGACUGAGUCACCUUUGUACCCAGUGCACAGUGAGCCUGCUUCACAAAAUUGGCACAGCUUUCUCUGCUUGUACUGAUUGGGAAGGCAAUGGCCUCAGCCUUAAUACGCAGAAUAACCCCAGGUGAUAUCAUGAAGCUUCGCCAGUAUCAACAUCAUUGACCACAAGGACCACAUGUUCAUCCAGAAGAACGUGGCCAAGGUUGACAAGGUAUUGCAGGUUUAACUGCCAGUUUAAAAUGUAAGCUAUCUUCAGAGUUAUCGGCAGGAUGAGUGACUCAGAUGACUCCAUUCUCCAAUUGGCCCAGGCCAGUGACAUCAUCUCAAAGAACUUCUGACUAGAGAGAAUUGUGAAUAUGGAAUAUUUGUCAUGAAUAAAAAGUGAGAAACAGAACAAAUAAACAAAUUUUGGUAUAGUGAACAGAAAGGGUCUGACAGACAGUAGCUCACAGUCAAAAAAGAGGCAGGCACUGAUAUCCACUAGUACCUGGCCUAGGAUAGAGACCUCAGCCUGGGAACACAGGGCUAGCCGUGCAGCUGGAUGACUGAUGAGAAGGAAGCAUGAUAAGUGGGACAUAGGUCAUUUACAUAGACAUACUCCUGCAGAUGUGGGUGAGCUGACUGGGCCAGAAAGAAAGCAAUGUGGAAAUGGGUGCAAGGUGCACCCUUGAUUGCUCAUUUCAAGGGCUGAGAGCUUGGAGAGUGAGCACUCAGAUGGACCUUGAGUUAUGAGAAAGAGGGACUCAAAUGGCCCUUGAAGCAUCUGAGAGGGAACCAACACACACAAUGUGGGUCUUCAAGAAAGGAUACUCACUAUCCAAAAGAAGGACAUGGAGGCAGACCAUGGAAGUUUCAUGCAGCCUAACUGGUGUGUUUGUUUGAUAAAGAGGCAUUGCAGAUCCAAGUGCAUCUGUCUCAAUAGUGCAAAUAGAAAUGAGGCCAAGGUCUCUGGGUCCUCACUGGAGGACAAUGACCCUAUACUUCUGUCAAAAUAAAAGAGGAAAUAAAAGGUGAAUUCAGAUUUUUCUGAGGUUCUUAUAUACUGGAGCCCACACAACAGUAUUUCCAUUUCCCUUAGGAGAAAAAAAUUAAACUGAAGACAGUGACAAGUUUCGGGAUGGAUGUGGUAACUGAUAAAUGAUGCUUAUCUGGUUAUUGACAUUAUCUGCUUAUUGGUGGGGCUCUGUGGGCCAUUCUGUGUGCCAGUGACUGUGACUCCCACCACUGAGAGCAUUAUAGGCAUUGAAAUUUUGGCUGCUUGUGUCACAGGACAUCACCACCCCUUGAGGGGGUAUGCUCCUCACAGCUGAGAUCAAGCCACAACAGUGACACAUAUCCACUCUUACCUGCUCCAAAGCUAUCCAAGCCCCCAUGUGUUAUUCAACAACUGCAGUAUUAAAAGCAGAUCUUUCAGCUGCUUUUAUUUUAAUUUAAUUUUAGCUUUUUGAGAUGGGGUCUUGUUAUGUUGUUCAGGGUAGCCUCAAGUUCCUGGGCUCAAGUGAUCCUCCCACCUCAGUCUCCAAAGUAUCUCAAGGCCUGUGCAUGCACCCAGCUGAUAUCCCCUUUUUGAAUGGCAAACACUUGCUUUCUGCACAGGCUCAACAGAACUCAAUAAUCAAAUGGAAACUGUACAUUCAUGAUGGAGCUUUAUCUGGGCAUGGUGGUGCAUGCCUAUAAUCCCAGCUAUUCAGGAGACUGAGACAGGAGGAUUGCAAGUUCCAGGCCAGACUGGGCAACUUUGCAAGACCCUGCCUCAAAAUAAAAUUUAAAAAGGGCUGGGGAUGUAUCUUAUUAGUAAAGCAUCCCUGGGUUUAAUUCCCAGUCCAUACACACAAAAAAGGAUAGGGCCCAGCCAGGACCCCAAGGGACUAGUGGUCUCCAUAAACAAAUGUUUACCAGGAGGGAUGAAGCAACCUAUAAAGGAUGACCAGUCUCCUCCUGUGGCUACCUGGAGUCCAAGACUCAGAGUCAUGUCUACCAACAAUGUAACAUGGUUUACUCAUGGCUUUGCAAACAUUAAAUAUGGCCACCAUCUGGCCAGUGACUGACCAUUCUUUGACACUGGACAGAGAUAUUCUGCCUAAUGGCAGAACUGUAUGCCAAACUACAUACAGUGAUGAUGACCAUGCAGGCCACCUUUACCACCAAAUCUUGCCAACACCCUAGCCAUCUGAUCAGAAGAAUGGCAACUGAAUGACUGACUACUAAAGGACCCCCAGUGUGCAGACAAAGACUAUGGUAACAGCUUACUACCUAGAAGGGACAAAACAUGUGUCACUCAUGUGGAUGGUGGGACUGCAAUGACAAUGAGAGAAACAGGUUACAUUUUUGGAUAUCCCAUGGGAGUUCACUCUUACCAAAAAUCAUCCUUCACUGUCCAAACAACAUGACAAUGGGCACAGUCUCAUGGAGUGUGAUACAUUAUACCCUGUCAUCCACAGGUCAACAGAGCUUUAAGUGAUGGAAAAUCCAUCACAUAGCAACUGAAGAAUGAACAUCAAGUGGCUUUGUGGUGGAAUGGCAACCUGUAUGACAAGGAGUAUGGACAUUAAGUACUUCCCUCCAAUGCAAGGGAAACACAACCCUAUAUGCGUGGUGGGGGUGGAGGUAGAGCAGGCAGCCACCAGACUAGGCUACACUUUCAAAAUUCCAGUAUUCCCAGCCAUUCUUUUUCUCUUUUUGAUCUUUGGAAUGCAUGCUCUCAGGAUGGUUUGCAGUUUAGGUCACCAUAAUCCCCAGCCACAGGCCCUCAACUGUAAUCUGAAUAUGAUGCCUCUCAACCUUCUUCUCCCUUACCUUGCCUCACCUCUGUGGGAUCUUUCAGGGUGGGAAAUGGGACCAACGAAUAUAAGGGUGCUGGAGUCUCUUUAGUGGUACCAAGGCUAUCUGGUCUUUCCUUCUAUUAGCAGGCAUAUCAGGUUUGUACAGACUGAAAGCUCUCUUUCUGAACUGGAUGGUUGAGUCUAAAAGGUCUGGGUCAAGAAACAAGAACAAUGGAUGUCCACAGAGGUAGUAGCUUCAGGACAGGGACAGAUAGGCUGGGUCACUACACCAAUGCAGCCCAACCCCUAUCUAAUAAGUAAGAAACACCUGAGACCUGAGGGGAUAGGAGUGCAACAUAACCUAUCAUUCUGCUUUUUCCUCAAGGAUGAAGCAGCAGAAGACUGGGAGCAUAAUGCCCUUAUUAAGUUCUCCUAAGCUGUGACCGCCAAGAUAACCUGAUGAAGUGCUGGAUUUGCCAUCCAAAACCUCAUACUUUCACCACCAGAGUAUUCUUCUCAUCCUGCCAGUGCUAAACAACAUCGGCAUUCCUAAUGCCACAGUGCACCUUGACUAAACCCUGGCUUACUGAGUGGAAAUCUGACACCCAGUGUGCAGGACAGAACUGAAAGCGCCCUGUUAUAAUUUAAUCAUCUCUGUGGCAGAGUGUCACAACCACAACAACCUGUUUUAGGCAAUUCCUCCUUAUUUCAGGAUAUUGCUUUCCCAAUAUAUUCUACUAUUAUUCUUGAGAACUACAAGCAAGAUAGGGAGGAAGACUGGGCAGGUCCAAAGCUACCCGGGGAACUGUCCUUCAGACCCCUCCCCAACAAGAUAUCCUCCUUAGCAAAGCUAGUCCAUUUCAUGUGCCCAUAGACCACCCAGUUCUGGAGGGAGAGGUUUGUCUUCUCAAAUCCUUGGAACACUUUGACUGACACAGUCUCAAGGCAGCUCCAUUAAGUCAUAGUCAGGAUACAUUUUACAGACCCAGGAGAGCCACCUAGUACUACUACCACCAGCAGGACAGCCAGACCUGCCCAAAGAAGUGGUCUAGCCCAGGUUCUAGUGAUUCAGUAAAAAGGCUGUAAUGGUUAAUUGAGAUUGUCAACUUAGUUGGAUUGAGAGAUGCCUAGGAAAUGCCUAGGAUUAAAAGACUUCUAGGUAUGUUUAUGAGGGUAUUUCCAGAGGCAACUGGCAUAUAGGACAUCAAACUGAGGGAUGAAAUCCACCCUGAGUGUGGUGGGCAGCACAACCAUUAGUCUGGGGUCCUGGGUUAAACAAAAGAUGGAAGAAAGAGGAAGCUACAGGGUCUGCAAAUGCGAUUCUUCUGGAGCAGGUGAAUAUAUUGCUGCCAGGGGAUAUCAAACUCACUCUUCAGUGUGAACUCUCACCAGCCAUUCUCCAGGGAACUUCCAGGCCUUCUGUCUUGGUCUUGGACUGCAUCAGGUCAAAGGAUCUUCGGCCCCCUGUAACAGGAGUUCACUUGAUGCUUUGACUAUAUCCCUUGUGGCUUUGAAACUAACAUGCUUUUUUCUUUUUUCCAACCUUCUUCUCCCUGACCUUCUCCUCCCUGACCUUCUCCUCCCUGAUCUUUUUCCUAACCUCUUUCCUGAUCUUCUCCUCCCUGAUUUUCCUUUCCCUAACCUUCUCCUUCCUGAUCCUCUCCUCUCUGAUCUUCUUUUCCUUAAACCUCCCUGAUCUUCUCCUUCCUGAUCUCUCCUCCCUAAUUUCAUUUUAUCUGAAUCACCCCUUUUAAAACCCCCUGUUUCUGCUGAUGGGCAGAAUCACACAGCCUUUGGGAUGGGAGCCCCCUGUGUUUCUUCUUUGCUAGCUGUGUUUCUCCUUUUUCUCAAAACCUUGUCCUCAUUAUUGGAUUGGCAUUGGAGACAAGGACUAAGCUUUUGGCAACACCCCCAUCUGCACCAGCAGGCCUUCUUUCAGAAAACUCUAACUUGUGUUUCAACAAUGCUUGAGGUGUUGCUAGGCAUGGUGGUGCAUGCCUGUAAUCCAAGCAACUUUGAAAGCAAGGCAGGAGGCUGGUAAAUUCAAGGCCAGCCUGGGCAACUUAGCAAGACCCUCAGCAACUUAGCAAGACUGUCUCAAAAUAAAAAAUGAGAAGGAUUGGGAUGUAGCUCAGUAAUAAAGUUCCCCUGGAUUCAAUUCCAAGUUCUGAAAUAAAAAUAAAAUACAAUAAAACACAAUUCUUGAGGUGUUUAUAUAGGUACAGCAGGUGUUGACAAUCCCACACACACCCUCCCAGAAAGUCUACAGCAAUUCUGUUGUUUGGAGAAACAGUGUUGAGGGAUUUCUGAUGGACUGCCAACACAGCAGCAAUGAGGCAGUGGACACUGGUUCCUAUGUAUGGUAACAAAGAUCUCCUAAAGAACAUAAGUCCAGUCAGUUACACCUCCUGGCAAGUCCCAGGAAAGCCUUAUGUACAGCCACAGACUGCUGGCCCAGCAACAUUUCUUUUUUCCUUCUUUUUUUAAAAUUUUUUUAGUGUUGAUGAACCUUUAUUUUAUUCAUUAAUUUAUAUGUGGUGCUGAGCCACAACCCCAGCUCCCCCAGCAACAUUUCUUAUAAGGCCCCUGCUUAGCAUCUGGAUGGCCAUCUUAAGUGACAAUUGCCAUUUUAAGGAAAAAGUUUCACUUUCCCACCCAAGGGCGUUUCUGAAAAAGGCUCACCACUCCCUCAUACCAAUCCAACCCUUAACUGCCCACAUUAGGACUCGUCUAGCUAUGAUUCCUGAGCCUCCCCAAUAAAAGUCCCAGAAUUCAAGCCUGUUUUGCCUCUCUCUUCUAUAGAGAGAUGGCCUUUAUUUGUCAGCUCUGACAAACUCUUGUGUGUAUCCCUGCCUGGUCUCUGUCUUUCAUUUCUUGCUUACCUGUCUCUCCUUCCUCACUUUCCCUUCAUUUCUCACUCUCAGGCUUCUAUCUAGGGACAUUUCCAGUAAGCCUGCUUAAUGUUUUGCAUUUCAAAAGUUAUCAUUAAGAAAAUGAAAACAGGGGCUAGGGUUGUGGCUCAGCAGUAGAGGGCUUGCCUUGCAUGGGUGAGGCACUAGGUUCAAUCAUCAGCACCACAUAAAAAUAAGUAAAAUAAAACAAAGAUAUUGUGUCCAUCCAUAACUAAAAAAGAAAAGAAAGAAAAUGAAAAGAGCUGGGUAUGAUGGCCCCUGUCUGUAAUCCCAGCUACUCAGGAGGCUGAGGCAGGAGGAUUCAGAGAGUUGAGAGUUUGGAGCCAGUCUAGAAAAUUU